rnacentral:rRNA from 1 species
AACGAACGCUGGCGGCAGGCUUAACACAUGCAAGUCGAGCGCCUCGCAAGAGGAGCGGCAGACGGGUGAGUAACGCGUGGGAAUCUACCGUGCCCUACGGAAUAGCUCCGGGAAACUGGAAUUAAUACCGUAUACGCCCUUCGGGGGAAAGAUUUAUCGGGGUAUGAUGAGCCCGCGUUGGAUUAGCUAGUUGGUGGGGUAAAGGCCUACCAAGGCGACGAUCCAUAGCUGGUCUGAGAGGACGAUCAGCCACAUUGGGACUGAGACACGGCCCAAACUCCUACGGGAGGCAGCAGUGGGGAAUAUUGGACAAUGGGCGCAAGCCUGAUCCAGCCAUGCCGCGUGAGUGAUGAAGGCCCUAGGGUUGUAAAGCUCUUUCACCGGAGAAGAUAAUGACGGUAUCCGGAGAAGAAGCCCCGGCUAACUUCGUGCCAGCCGCCGCCGUAA